rnacentral:lncRNA from 1 species
GUCGGUGGGGAGCUAAGGACUUCUUCCUGUGUGUUUCAUGAAAUGUCCCUAGCCACCCUCAGAGGCGCGCGUGCACCUCUUCAACCCUGUUUUCAGUUGAAGAGUAAGAGAAGGCUAGCGAGCGUUGCGACACGACUUCAUCGGACUGUACAGUUAGCGAGUGGUAAAGCGGCAAGUCAGCUCCCUGGGGAGACCUGCUCCAGGGUCCUCACGAGCGAUCUCCGCCACACUGCCUAAGACGUGCUUGCAGAACGCCACAAAUGGAGGAGGAGCUUGCUGCAGGCGGAGGGAGAGGGAACUACUUGCUCAGUCUGAAAUGGCAGGCUUCUGUGUCCUUGCCAGUCUCUGUGCUGACAGGAGCAUGGAAGGGCCUCUGUCCAGGGACACCAUGCUGUGCUGCAGACACUGUUUCAUUUAACCCUCAUGGAAGCCCAAGGGGUAGGAUUCUAACAGCAGGCCACAGCUGUCCCUGUCCUUGGGGCUUGCAGACAACUGGAUAGCUGAGUGUGUGGGUCCACGAGAUAGCUUGGAAAGUAAGGGUGUUUGCUGCUAAGCCCGAUGACCCAGAAUUCACAUUACAAGGAAAGAGAACCGAUCCGCAGGAGCCCGUGUCUGCAUGCAGGACUCUGAAAAUAUGAAGCUUUACCUGAGCAGGGCGUUCACAGGAUUUCCUCUUUGUCUCUCCAUACCCAAAAUACUAAAAGAGGGUUCAUGCCUCACUUAAUAAAUGCAGGCUGGGCAGACUUUAUACAAAUAGACAGCCACAUCCUGCUUGGCAGUCAGGGGGCAGAGAGCAAGAGAUGCUGGACCUGAACUGGGCUUUUGAAACCUCAAAGCCCACCCCCAGCAGCACAACUCCUCCAACAAGGUAUGUCUGCUCACUAGAAUGUGCACUUCUUGGACACGAGUCACACUCCCCAGACCAGGAUAAGGCCUGCUUGUGUUUGCUGAGAUAAUAAAUGAGUGGACAAAGAAGCUGGAGAUGAGACUCUCACAGAGGAGAUUUCUCUGAGGGGAGAAACCAAAGCCUCAAAGCCCAGCCUGAGAGCUAAGGAGAUGACCUGGGAGGUUAAGAACACUGGCUGUGCCUGCGGAGGACACAAGUUUGGUUCCUAGCAUCCACAUAGGACAACACGGAACUUCUAUAAAUCCAGCCGCCCAGGAUCCGACAUCCUCUGCUGGUACUUACACUCAUUCAUAUUCACACCAUUUAAAGACUUUUGAAUGAAUCUUAAAAAUAGAAAAGAAACAAACAAGAGUAAGAAACCAAGCCUGGCAUUUAGCCCAUGUUUCCAACCCUUUAGAUGGGUUAUUUCAAUUAACUUUCAGAAUUAAACCACAAAGAGGGUUAGAGGUAUAGCCCAUUUUAAGAGGUGCUUGCCUAGCAUACACUACACCUGGUUCUGAUCCCAGGGCACAUACACACAAAAGUAGAGAGAUUAGUCUCCUCCAAGGGGGUGAGAGCACUGCCUAACACCACAUUAGCUAACACACGAUGGUCGUGAGCACAGGAUGUCACGUCACGCCCCAGGUGAUCUGUGCAUGUCUUCAUUGCUGUCAUUUAAUUCUACCUGACAUUUCUGUUUACCAUUCUGAUUACCAAGGGAGAUACGUGUAAUUUCCUGUCAUCCACCCAGUGUUAGCAAAACGUUAAGUCUUGACCAUGAAGGAAUUGUCUGGAUCUACUUGGGGCUGAUCAGUAAGUGGCCACUCUUUGCAAGUGUUUGCACAGAUGGCUGCCUCAGUACACAGAGGUGCUCUAGCUAUAAGGACGGAGGGCAUAAAAACAGUAAGCUGGGCUCGGGGCACAGUACACUACUGGGAGAGCGAGGCUUAGAAUGUCCAAGGUCCUGAGGUACCUUAUGUUUACAAUGAGGCAAAUCUGGGCAAGAGAUAGUCAGGCGUUCAAGGAGCAAACAAGUGGGAAAAGAUGGAAGUGUUUGGAGGAGACUCGAAGCUUUGUGUUUCCUCUUUGAAUCAUUUACUUCUCCAGCUAGUUAUUCUUUACGUUGUUUGCAAGGUCUUGUCUUUCCCAUUUGAAACACAGUUGGCCAGCAGCUGGAGAUGCUGAACACUGGCGUGUAUAAAACCCUAGACUCCAUUCUCAACAGGUUUAAAAAAAAAAAAAAAGGCUAGUCACUUCUGCUCCAGCAAACCAGGUUGUGACUUCCGGGGCUGCAGUGGCUAAGGACAGUGUUGCAGCAACAUAACAUAAUCAUAAAGACCUCUGCCUUUAUUGUCUGUUUCAGUCUAUGCCACAUGAAACCCUAACCAAGUUCUUCCACCAGUAAGCCAGUUAAAACAGCCAAGUUCACAGUGAAAGAGCUGAAAACGGAAGAGGGACAAAGAGAACAGCUGAUCAGGAUUCCUCUUCCAGAGCCAAACGUGAGGUUAGGUUUAAAUUGAAGCCAGAGUUGAUAGUUUCCUGACUA